AUUGUUGCCGUUUCCCGCCGGCACUGCAGCAGGGGGACUGAGACUGUCCCGUGGAGCUCGCAUGCAGAAGCCGGCUCCCCUAACCCCCGUGCUCCCAAGAAACCCCAGCUCUGAGGAGACUCUUGUGUGUGCCUGAGCUCAGCCCCGCCCCACUGGGUGUCCUGCUCCUUACGAGGUGGAAGCAUCCAUGUCUGGUCCUGCGGCGGUGAGAGUUUGAUGCCCAAGCUGCUGAUAUAACAACAUCUGGGCAAUUUGGACUGGUGAAGGCCAUUGGUGCAAAAUCCCCCAAACCCCGCUAGCUGCAGAGCCUGGAGCUCAGCCACAGUCCGGCUGGUUGUGUGGAGAAGGGCCCCAGGGCCCGUGAACUGGAACGAAUCAGCCCAUCCUUUCUCCUCAUACCCAGCUGCCCAGCGGAUGUGGAAGAACGGAGAUGCUGGAAACUGCAAUGCCGGAUAUCUGGAUGACACAGGCUCCUUCCUGGAUGAUCUGCUUCUCAGGUGGUAGCAUCCCAGCCAGAGACCACCCAGAUGCUCGGUGAUGGGCUUUGAGCUGUGUGCUAAGCCCACCCUUGGACGUGAACUCUGCUUAAGACAUCUCCCUUGGAAGCCAAAGCUGGCUUCCUUCCCAAACCGUGGGCACGAUGGGCCAGAUCGGCAAGUUAGGAAGUGAUUCACAGACAGAGGUGCUGCAGAGUCAGUUUUGAAUGACAAAUGGAACCAAUUAAGUUCAAUAGCGCGCUCGCUCCCCCCGAGUUCCAGCCUGUACCUACAGCUAGUCACCUUUGACAAAAUAUAUCAAAGGAAUUAAGAGUGUGUCCCCCACAAUGAUAUUACCUGGAUCCCUUUCAGGUCCUCACCAGCCACGUUCAGACAUCUAUUUAAGCCCAGGAAAUAGAAUCAAAAUGGUUUAUUAAAAAUCUAAUCACAAGCACUUAUAUGACACAAAUGAUUCUGAACUGCAUCCGCCAACCCCACGGCCUCUCCGAGGGGAGGCAGCAUGCGGCCGAUUACCCGGAAUUUGAAUGGGGGUGUAUAGAAGCUGCAGAACAUUUUAAUCCUGAUCUUUCUUUGUGGAUUUUGCUAUUGCUAUUUUUUUUUCUGUUGAAAAAGACAAAGAUGGGAGGACACAUUGUCUUUCCUCCCUGGAGGGAGCUGCAGAGAUGACUUAUUCUGGCAGAUCUGCCUCUAUUGAUGUUACCAGGAUGUGAAUAAAAACUCAUGGGAAAAGAAGAAAAAAUCCUGCUGAAUUUAAAGCAGCACAACACGGUUUACGGGUGGGUCCCUGUCUGCUAUCCUGAGCCAGGACACCUCCCUGGUGACUGCAUUGGAGCUUUCUCAAGAGGAGGGCCUUGUGCAAAGAUGGCCCCUUUCCCCUCAGGGUGGGAGCGGCUGGGCUUGGGGGAGACACUGUCUUUGGGGUGAGGCAUGGUUCGUGGCCUUUGCUUGGCUUUUGACUUUCUGGAGCUCUGGAUCCUUCACAGAUGCUCAGAACAGCCAUGGAUACAGAAGAGUCUCCUACGGUGUCUUCCUGCCCGGGGCCCAGCCAGAGCCAGGGCUCCACCACCCAGGGCUCAAUCAUAGCACUCUUUUCUGGUGGCCAAGACCCCCGCAAACUUCUCUCCAGACAGAGGUGUCGGAGCCUGGCCCGUGUUGCGGCUCCUGAGCUGGGAAGUCCGCCACGAGGAAGCAUCUGUCGGGACUGCCUCCUAAUGAAUGUCAGGUGCCUGCGUCAGCCACGGGCGGGUGGCUCUGGAAGGACCAGCAGGUUCUCAGCGAUGCAUGAUUUCGGUAGGUUGCCCUCACCUCCUCCCCUCUGUUGGGAAUGGAUAGACUGUUUUCUAGAAGGUUCCCUGACUCUUUGAGGGGAUUGGGCCCUCUGGCAUGUCAGGUACAGAAUGUUCCCCAAACCCUUCAUCUCUGUCCCCUCCUCCAGCUCUCUGCAGAUGAUGACUUUACUUUUACGUUAAGUUGCUUUUGUUUAGUCUUCCUCUCUAAACAACAACUACUUUUAAAUGAUUUUUUAAAGUACAAAGAGUUAGUUUGAUUCUUCCUCAAAUGCCUUCUUUUGAAGACAAGCUUGCCUUUUCGAUUUCAUAUCCCAUUUAAUUAAAACAAAAUAUAACAGAAUCAUAACACUGAAAAUCAGUGUACUCACUACCGGCUCCAUUAAUUCUUAUCAGUAUAAAACAUACAUUCAGAAGUGUAAGUGCUUUAAAAUACACUCCUUCCACUCUUGCCAAUAUGUUCUAUUUAUACACGUAGUCUACAGCGGGGAAGAAGUUCUCCUUGUGAACCUAGGGAACCACAGGACCGCACGUGUUUUUGGACAAUGGACGCUUGAGCCCGGCACUUUUGAGAGCUGUUGGGCCGGCAGCUGUCACAUUCCAGCCACUCCCCAAAAGCCAUUUGGCUGUGGGUGCGUUAGGCCUGGGAUCAGCUGAAAGGUAGCAUCUAGGGGUGUCCCCACCUGGCUCAACCACAGCAAAGAGCUUGAAUUCAACUUUCCUCUGCCAGACAAGACCCCUCCCAAGUCACGUCUGCCAUGAAACCCGCACACGCUUCCUGUCCAAAUGGAGCAGAGACCUCCCCAUGGCAGUUAUGUUCUUGAGCCGCAAACACUAAAGAUGCUUGCUCCAUCAAUUUUUUUUUUUUUGAGACAGAGCUUUGCUCUUGUUGCCCAGGCCAGGCUGGAGUGCAAUGGUGCCAUCUCGGCUCGCUGCAACCUUUGCUUCCCGGGUUCAAGAGAUUCUCCUGCCUCAGCCUCCCCAGGAGCCGAAAUUACAGUGGUCCAACACCACGCCCGGGUAAUUUUUUGUAUUUUUCGUAGAGAUGACGUUUCACCAUGUUGGCCAGACUGGUCUCGAACUCCUGACCUCAGGUGAUCCACCGGCCUCGGCCUCCCAGAGUGAUGGGAUUACAGGCGUGAGCCACUGUGCCCGGCCCUUGCUCCAUCUUUAACCGGUCGUCAGCAUCCUGAAAACAAAGCCUAGCAAAACAAAACACGCACGUGCAGCCCCCUCACUCCCCGGGAUGCUACAAAGUUCUCUUUGUGCACUACAGACCGGGUAGACUGACGUGGUGUUCACAGACACGGUUACAGCCUGAUGUUAUGCAAUAGCAUGUUAACCACACAUUCUAGUAAAAAAAUAAAAUAAAU
rnacentral:lncRNA from 1 species